rnacentral:rRNA from 1 species
UACAGAGGGUGCUAGCGUUAAUCGGAUUUACUGGGCGUAAAGCGUGUGUAGGCGGUUUGUUAAGUCGGGUGUGAAAUCCCUGGGCUCAACCUGGGAAUUGCAUUCGAUACUGGCAAGCUAGAGUACGGUAGAGGGCGGCGGAAUUCCAGGUGUAGCGGUGAAAUGCGUAGAUAUCUGGAGGAAUACCGGUGGCGAAGGCGGCAUCCUGGACCGGCAUUGACGCUGAGGAGCGAAAGCCAGGGGAGCAAACGGG